AUGUUUCUAAAAUAUUUGGCAUCAACAACAUACUCCCUCCGUCCGGAAAAAGUUGUCUUCAUGACAUUUUUACAAAAAACCCCUCCACUUUUGUCCGACCAAACCCGCAGUCCUCGUCGUGUCGCAGCGUCACUCCCCUCCCCGCAGCUUCCCGUCGUUGCGCUGCUUCCCUCCCCGCCGCGCCGCGCCGGUGAGCUCCCCCGCGCCGCUAAGCUCCCUCGCCCCGCUGAGAUCCCCCGCGCCUCCUCUCCCUCCUCCACGCCGCCGCGCCGCUCCAGUUCGCUGCGUAGCUCCUCCUCUCCCCUAAAAAUCCCUUCUUCCGGUGAGGUUCUCUUCGACGAGGCGCCGCUCGAUCUGGAGGAUAACGACAAGUUGGCGCUCGAUCUGGAGCAUGGCGACGGCAUGGGGCGGGCGCUCUCUUCCUCGAGCUCCUAA
rnacentral:rRNA from 1 species